rnacentral:rRNA from 1 species
AGUGAACGCUGGCGGUAGGCCUAACACAUGCAAGUCGAACGGCAGCACAGUAAGAGCUUGCUCUUACGGGUGGCGAGUGGCGGACGGGUGAGGAAUACAUCGGAAUCUACUUUUUCGUGGGGGAUCACGUAGGGAAACUUACGCUAAUACCGCAUACGACCUACGGGUGAAAGCAGGGGAUCUUUGGACCUUGCGCGAUUGAAUGAGCCGAUGUCGGAUUAGCUAGUUGGCGGGGUAAAGGCCCACGCAGGCGACGAUCCGUAGCUGGUCUGAGAGGAUGGUCAGCCGCACUGGAACUGAGACACGGUCCAGACUCCUACGGGAGGCAGCAGUGGGGAAUAUUGGACAAUGGGCGCAAGCCUGAUCCAGCCAUACCGCGUGGGUGAAGAAGGCCUUCGGGUUGUAAAGCCCUUUUGUUGGGAAAGAAAAGCAGCAGGUUAAUACCCCGCUGUUCUGACGGUACCCAAAGAAUAAGCACCGGCUAACUUCGUG